GACGAACGCUGGCGGCGCGCUUAACACAUGCAAGUCGAACGGAAAGGCCUGCUUUCCCUUGUGGAUUGCGGGUACUCGAGUGGCGAACGGGUGAGUAACACGUGAGUGAUCUGCCCCCAACUUGGGUAUAAGCCUGGGAAACUGGGUCUAAUUCCCGAUAGGACUGCAGGGUGGUGCCUGUGGUGGAAAACGAUUUUCUAGUGGUUGGGGAUGAGCUCGCGGCCGAUCAGCUUGUUGGUGGGGUAAUGGCCUACCAAGGCGGCGACGGGUAGCCGGCCUGAGAGGGUGGACGGCGACAUUGGGACUGAGAUACGGCCCAGACUCCUACGGGAGGCAGCAGUGGGGAAUAUUGCACAAUGGGCGGAAGCCUGAUGCAGCGACGCCGCGUGGGGGAUGACGGCAUUCGGGUUGUAAACUCCUUUCGACCGCGAGGAAGCCACCUGGUUGGAAGGGUGGUGACGGUAGUGGUAGAAGAAGCACCGGCUAACUACGUG
rnacentral:rRNA from 1 species